CCAGGAGCCGGCGAAUGGGGAACAAACAUUUGGUGGCGCUCCGGAGUUUACGCCUGCUGUGCUCCACCAUGAGCCUGACCCUGUGCAGGAAUGUCAAGCAUCUCCGCCGUUCUAUUCAACCGGACCAAGGAGCUCGACCUCCGUGAUGAAAGUGUUCACGUAUGAGAUCAUAAAAAACACAAGUCCUGUCGUGAAGCCUUUCCUGUGUGUUAGAGAUGGUCUAUGGAUUAAUAUUUAACGUUAAAAUGCGGUCACAUGGUGCAGUCAGGAUAACUCUAAAUGAUUCAUGCCUACAUGUUCUUCCGCAGACCAAUAUGAAUAUUAAAAUGUAUAUAGUUUAACUUUUUGAUCAAGGUGUACUUUGUUGUUUAGUAUAUUACGCUACUUCCCCUUGUGUCGAAACUUUGUGAAGAAAAAGUUUGUCUUGGCAUACAUCCCAAAAAAAAUAUUUUUCUUCACAAGAUGUCUUUGUGGAAAGGAAAGUAAAGGUAUUAUUAUAAUAGUAGUUUAUAAAAAAUUGUGUUGUCUGCUUUGUAACUUUUAACUAACUUUUUUCUCUGCUUUUUUUCAGAUCUUUGAGCAUACAAAUUGUAAACAACCUUAAAAUUGAACUACAGUCCCCCUCUGCAUCAUUCAAAGCAAAGCACAUUUAGACCUGUUGCUUUGUACGAUGCAACAGAGGGGGACUGCAGUUCAAUUUUAAGGUUGUUUACAGAUAAAAGUUUAGUAUAACCCCCUACUUAUCUUUGUCUCCUAUCUAUAACCCCCUACUUAUAUUUCUCCCGAGGGCCAGGGGGGCUGACGUUCCCCCCGGCAUUCUCAUCCGCAACCUCUCUGGACCUCCCCCAACCGCAACCUCUAGGAGCCCCCACCAACUCCAUCUGCCCCCAAUAUCACCUCCAUCAUCCUGUUAAUACACAGAUCCUGUUAAUAUACACAACCAUGUUAAUAUACACACCUUCAGCAAUCUUUCCGUGGUCCCUCCCGACCGUCAUCUCCGUUCACAGCUCUCUCUCUCUCUUUACCGAGCGGCAUUCGAUUUUUCACUUUGAAAAGGACACGCAUACACCGGAGGCCUUGAACGAAUGAAAAGGAAGUUGCAUUGGCCGGGAAUCGAACCCGGGCCUCCCGCGUGGCAGGCGAGAAUUCUACCACUGAACCACCAAUGCUUGUCAUGAUUUCACAUAAGUCUGUUUAAAUUGCGCCCCCGGUGGCUGCAGCAGGGGAAGUCAACUGGAUCUUCCUUCUCCAUAUCAGCAAAUGAGAAAUGGGCUAC